AGUGAGAUGAAAACUGAUGAGGACUAAAGUAUACCUACGAUUGAAGUAAGAGAUCGGUCAGUUCAGAUGUCCCGCCGUCUGUAGACGUUAGGCAGAUGUCGAAUAUCAGCUGCCAUGGAGACUGAAACAGGCUUGAUGCCGAAGUCAAGAUAAGGUUGAAGUCAGGAUCAACCUAUCUUGAGUGUUCUGCCUAGAGAGAUCACUAGGAGUCAAGAAUCGUCAGGAGCUGAAACUAGCUA
rnacentral:lncRNA from 1 species